rnacentral:rRNA from 1 species
GAUGAACGCUGGCGGCGCGCCUAAUACAUGCAAGUCGAGCGAACGGACGAGAAGCUUGCUUCUCUGAUGUAAGCGGCGGACGGGUGAGUACCACGUGGAUAACCUACCUAUAAGACUGGGAUAACUUCGGGAAACCGGAGCUAAUACCGGAUAAUAUUUUGAACCGCAUGGUUCAAAAGUGAAAGACGGUCUUGCUGUCACUUAUAGAUGGAUCCGCGCUGCAUUAGCUAGUUGGUAAGGUAACGGCUUACCAAGGCAACGAUGCAUAGCCGACCUGAGAGGGUGAUCGGCCACACUGGAACUGAGACACGGUCCAGACUCCUACGGGAGGCAGCAGUAGGGAAUCUUCCGCAAUGGGCGAAAGCCUGACGGAGCAACGCCGCGUGAGUGAUGAAGGUCUUCGGAUCGUAAAACUCUGUUAUUAGGGAAGAACAUAUGUGUAAGUAACUGUGCACAUCUUGACGGUACCUAAUCAGAAAGCCACGGCUAACUACGUG